CGGGAGGCAGCAGUAGGGAAUCUUCCGCAAUGGACGAAAGUCUGACGGAGCAACGCCGCGUGAGUGAUGAAGGUUUUCGGAUCGUAAAGCUCUGUUGUUAGGGAAGAACAAGUGCGAGAGUAACUGCUCGCACCUUGACGGUACCUAACCAGAAAGCCACGGCUAACUACGUGCCAGCAGCCGCGGUAAUACGUAGGUGGCAAGCGUUGUCCGGAAUUAUUGGGCGUAAAGGGCUCGCAGGCGGUUUCUUAAGUCUGAUGUGAAAGCCCCCGGCUCAACCGGGGAGGGUCAUUGGAAACUGGGAAACUUGAGUGCAGAAGAGGAGAGUGGAAUUCCACGUGUAGCGGUGAAAUGCGUAGAGAUGUGGAGGAACACCAGUGGCGAAGGCGACUCUCUGGUCUGUAACUGACGCUGAGGAGCGAAAGCGUGGGGAGCGAACAGGAUUAGAUACCCUGGUAGUCCACGCCGUAAACGAUGAGUGCUAAGUGUUAGGGGGUUUCCGCCCCUUAGUGCUGCAGCUAACGCAUUAAGCACUCCGCCUGGGGAG
rnacentral:rRNA from 1 species